GAGAGAAGGUAAACCAGACAGUAGCAGAUUAUGUCUUCACAAAGGGCAGGUGUUGCCCCAGGUCAGGUUUCAGUAUUCUCAUAUGUUCAGUAGCCCUACAGAUUUAGACAAAGAAAAAGGUCCUUCCAGUUCAGGGUGAAUAUUCUAGGGAAGCAGACACUAGAAGGAAGAUGAUCAAAAGCAUGCAAAUAACUUGGGGAAAUCUAGUCCCUUUGGAAAGCUCCAAAAAUCUGUAAAUACGGCUGGAAACAAUUCUGGCUCCAGCCGUUUCAGACAGGGAUCCAGCUGGAAACUCCCUCAGACUCUUGAUCCUCUAGCCUCCCUUCAAAUGUCAGCUGUUUACAGACCUAGAAGUUUACCAUGCAGUGAUUUAUGCUUCACAGCUUGGCAGAUGGCUUGCGCUUUUGCCUCACCCAGUCUUCAGAUGCAAGGUAGCUACAUCUAGAGGAAGAAGAGCGUAACAGGAGAACAAUUUGCUCUUUAAUACUCCAAAAAGGCAGUCAGGAGACAAACCUCUGAGCAGACAAAAUGGAGCAAGUCAAUGAUAACGUGGCAUUGCACCCACAUAGUGUUAUGAGUGAGUUCCUAGAAAGCCAUAGGGUCAGAUUCUCAACGUACUGCAACGCUCUUGCUGGGGUAUGAAAGCAUAUCUGACUCUUCAGAAUGAUCACCUUUUCAUGCUGCGUUCAAAUAUGGUUAAAAGCAAAGUCUGUCCACAUGGAGGGGCACAGGCCUGAAGGCAAUGGAACUGCACAUAGGUAGAGAGUCACUCAGAGUCCCAGUAGUUUGCAAGUUCAGCGUGGCAGUGUUUAGCUGGAUGUGGGGAGGAGGAAGGAACGAUACAUAAACAGAUGGAGACUUUCCAGCCUGAAAAAGCUGUGGUAUGUCUCGCAGUUCUUUAUUAGCAUAAGCAAAUUGAUUCCUAAAUAUUGAUGGAUGUCCAUACAAUGUAUAUAUCCACACCUGCCCAACCUUUUAGGUCUCUGCUUUGGCUGUAGAAUAAUUGAAGGAUCUGUACGCUCAAGCUGCUGUACCCUCCACCCCUCUCCACUUUCCUUGGAUAUUCACAUAGAGGAGGAAGAAACUCUUUGUGUUGCUGAAAACCUGACACUCCUCUUGCUCCCAUGGAUGCUGCCAGGAAAGUGAGAACAGCCAGCUGCUGGAGCUCAGCAAAGUGCUCCAGUGCAAUCUGACCCUCUAGAUCCAUUCAGACCCACAGACUGGAGCCUGGAGACGGUGAUGCCAGCAGUGUUAUUCCCUAGGGGAUGAGCAUCCCUUAUUGAAGGAGACCUCUCUCCUUGCUGUAGGAAAAUAAACUGCACAAAUGAGAGCAUGUGAUCGUGCUCCUGAAUGGGGUAAUAUGUACCCUGCUGGCCUCACAGGAUCCUCAUCUGCAUUUUGUGCGCUCCUUUCAGGCGCUGAUUGGCUGCAUUGCCUGUUAUCUGGUGGUGCCUGCCUCAACCAAAGGCUGGAAAGAUUCUGGGCUGUGGGAAAAAUUGGGAAGGGGGUGGGAAGGGACAUGUGGAUGGGCUUUGUACCAACCUGGGUGAGGUGGAGACACAGACUCUGGAAACUGGAUGCUGCUGCUGCCCCAGGAAACCUGACCAAAGAGAAGGGAAGAAAAGGAAUUGCAGAUACUGUAACAUAGGAGAGCGCUCUUCUGUGUGCUGAGGCUGAUCAGCUUUCUAUGCAGUCAGCUGCAAUGAGGUGCAGGAGAUGGAGAUAAAUCUGAAAGCUAUCCAAAGCUGUAAUGUCAUGAACCAGGAAGAGGUAAUGAUUUACCAAGCUCUUUAUGCAAAUCCCUAAGAGUGGCUGGAGCUAGAGGACUCCUACAAAGACUGGAAAAGACCUGAAAAUAAAUCUGUGAAGCCCUUCAUCUGGCAGAUGAGGACCAGGAAUAAAACAAUGGAAAAAUGUGGGCAAUUACUCAGAGGUCUAAACAAAACCCAAAUAAAAUGACUGCUUUCAUGAA